UACGUAGGGUGCGAGCGUUGUCCGGAAUUAUUGGGCGUAAAGAGCUUGUAGGCGGUCUGUCGCGUCUGCUGUGAAAAUCCGGGGCUCAACCCCCGGACUUGCAGUGGGUACGGGCAGACUAGAGUGUGGUAGGGGAGACUGGAAUUCCUGGUGUAGCGGUGGAAUGCGCAGAUAUCAGGAAGAACACCGGUGGCGAAGGCGGCUCUC
rnacentral:rRNA from 1 species